AGUGAACGCUGGCGGUAGGCCUAACACAUGCAAGUCGAACGGCAGCACAGUAAGAGCUUGCUCUUACGGGUGGCGAGUGGCGGACGGGUGAGGAAUACAUCGGAAUCUACUUUUUCGUGGGGGAUAACGUAGGGAAACUUACGCUAAUACCGCAUACGACCUACGGGUGAAAGCAGGGGAUCUUCGGACCUUGCGCGAUUGAAUGAGCCGAUGUCGGAUUAGCUAGUUGGCGGGGUAAAGGCCCACCAAGGCGACGAUCCGUAGCUGGUCUGAGAGGAUGGACCGGCCACAGGGAAAGUGAGACACGACCCAGCCCCCUAGGGGGGGCAGAGGGGGGGAUAGUGGGACAUGGGGGGCAGGCUGGACCCAGCAUUCCCGCGUGGGUGAAGAGGUCCUUGGGUUUGUAAGGCCUUUUUGUGGGAAAAAAAAGGCAACGGUUUAAUCCCCCGUUUUUCUGAGGGUACCAAAAAAAGAACCACCGGCAACCUUCGU
rnacentral:rRNA from 1 species